rnacentral:misc_RNA from 1 species
UCAUCUCAUAGCGACCAGCAAAACACAACCAAAGCAACCAGUGCCCGCCCCCUCCCGUUCUCCUGUGUGUCCUCUGCGACUCUCUGUAUCGUUUACCUUUUCCUGCGGCCAUUUUUUUUUUGCAUCUCUCUGUCCAGCUGCCACCACCAGGGCAAGCUCUUUCUCUGUCGCUGUCCCCCCCCUCCCACACACACACAAACGCACACUCUUCUCCUCACCGUCACCAUGAACACUUCUGCGACCGAAGCUAGUGCCAUCCAGCAGCUGGCGAAGAAACCCACAGACAUCGCCGCGCACUACUCUGCCGAAACGUGCAACCUGGACUACGAUACCAAUGACCCCGAGAGAGGCGACCUGGACGAAGUGCUGUUUUUCGCAGAGCCGCUGAAGGAAGCGCAGAACCUUCUGCCCAACGGUAAGUCACCACCGAAAUCCCCCAAAACGUCGAUGCAGACCUUCCUUCAGACUGUGCCGCACCUCUUCACCCUCACGCUUGAGGAGAUAUCCAGCCUUGACGUCAUGGUGCGCGAGUACAGCGAGAUGGAUGUCAUUAUCGAGGAAGGGGCGUAUCUGGAGCACAUCUACGUGCUCGCCUCUGGCACUGUUGAAGUGAUGAACUCCAAGAAGGGUCUCAAGCGUGCGUUUGGCCACCGGCGCAUCGGUAGCAUGGUAGCGCCAAGCGUGUUCGGCAUCGACGACGCCAUCCUCGAGAACGCCGUCGAGUUCACCUACCACGCCAGCUCCAACACGACGCUGCUGCUCAUCCCACGCAAGCAGUUCAUGGACCUCUUUGCGCGCUCCCCUAUCUUUGCAAACAACGUCUCCAGCCAAAUCCUUCGCACGCUUCCCUCCUUCUCGGUGUUUCAGGAAUUCUGCCGCGCUGUGUUUGGCAUCUCAUCCUCAUCGGCAUCCGACGCACAAGGGAGGAGGAGUGGCUAUUGCUUGUCGCUGCCUAUUCUCAUCCGGCUUUUCCGAUCUAGCGGCACCCUCCUGCACAAACACGCCAACAGGAAGGAGGUAGACUGCGAGGCGCUGCGGUACUGCACCCGCCGCCUGCCCGUGAACAUCACGGUUACCUACGUCAUCAUCCUCACCCAAGGGGUUCCGGACUACCUCUCGGACGAGUUCCUUGCCGACGCCGCAAACCGGCAGCCCGGCGCCACGCCGUUUAUCGCUGCCGUCGACACCGGGAAGCGGCGACGCUGCGCGUGGACGUUUGGUGGCGGAGGACAGACGCUUGUACUCAUGCGUGACGGCUUCACCGACACGAUCGACUUUGUGUCCAACUUGUGCAUUUUCUGCAUUGAGGCGAAGAAGUUGCGAGCGCGGCUGCAGCAGCUGGUGUCGCCAUCGGCGGCCGAGGUGCUGCGAAACGCCCUCGCGCCCGCCGAGAACAACCUCAGCGCCCAUGCGCACAUGCAAGAGGUUCUCGCGUCGCUACCCUUCUCGGAUGACGAGUUACGGGGUCUCGAGAACGUCUGGGGCGAGGAGACGCUGCAGCAACUGUACAACAUCGUCGUGCACAGGGAGGAGUACGUGGUGCAGGUCGAGAGCGUCAGUAGCAAGGUGUUCAGUGAGAAUCCGUACGCGAACUGGGCCCUCACUAUCGUUCGGCACAUCAAGAGCCGCCUCUGCGUUUCUGAGGUGGAGCCAUUGCCGGAGGACAUCAUCAUCGACGUUCUCUUCUCUCCAAAUCGGACGCUUAAGAACCUCUUUUGUUGCAUGUCGGCGGACAUCAAGGCGCUCAUCGAGAACAUAUCGGAGGAGUCCGGAAGCGGAAAGGGCGAACGUGCCGGCAACUGGAAGAACGCGAACGACCGCUACUACUACCUCUUGACAGGCUUGCUGGAACGCAAUGCGAUGAUUCGCGACGCGUACCGGUCGCGGCUGCAGUCAAACGGCUUCACGCUCAUGGAGGACGGGCACGCGUCGGCGCUGAUUGUCGACCUGAUCGACGUCAGCAACAUAUCACCCGACGAGACAGACCCGGGUCUGCGUGCCUGCGCCGCGCAGGCGAGCAAGAAGAGCAGAGAGGGAAAGCGGCACUUCAUCAUCAACGUGGACAAGACGUUUGGGGCUCAAAUCGAGGCCAUCUUGCGCUCUCUUCUUCUCACCUUCGGUAGCCGCAUCCAGAGCGUGAACCUCAGCGGCAAGGCUGCUGGUCUCACCGGCAACCGGGGAGACCUGGUUCUCCCGAAGAAGCUCAUCUUCUCCAAGCAAACCUUCGGCGAAGACUCGACUGAUGAGAUUCGCUUGUGCAACCGCAAGAGCUUCCUACGGGAGGACAUUACACCGCUUCUUGACAAGUCGUGCUCCGCACAGGUGCACCAUGGCACGUGCAUCACCCUCCCUGGUUUCAUGCUUCAGAGUCAGCCGGUGCUUAAGUUCUACAAGACCGUGCACGGCUGCACUGCCGUUGAUAUGCAGAGCAGCUACGUAGCACGUCAGUUGGAGGAGUGUCGCCGCAACGGGGUGCUCCGCCAGACCAUUCCCAGUCGCUACCUCUUCUACUGCGACGACAUGCCCCUCGGCAACGAGAACGGCUUGGUGCUCAAACCACAAAAAAGGGAGAUCAUCUCCACCAUCUACGCCACUGCUCGCGCGCUCCUGCGCAAGAUUCUCGAGUCUUGAUCAGCGGCGGCGCGUUCGCCGCCUCCGGCGAUGCAUGGGGGUGGGUAGAUGAUCGUUUGCCUGUUUGUGUCCUGGAAAGGUUGCGACAAAAGUCGAAGGAGGAAUGGUCGGUCGCAAAAACUGAUGAGAGGUCGGAGCUAAGGUCUGUUCUGUUAUUCCACCUCUCUCCCCCUCCACCAAAAAAAAAAAACUAGAGCACCGUUUUCUUUGAUCCGGCUUUGUUCAUUCUUGUCUCAUCUCGAGACAUCGAGUGAUCGCAAGCGUUUUAUUUUGUCUCCACCACCCCACCUUCUGCAUCCUUUGUCAGGGCACGAAUCCCUUUAAGGUGCAGGAAGGAGAGACACGAAGCCCAGGGGCCCGCGGGUAGUACUAUCG